AUUUGUGGUCAAACCUCCUUGUCAAAGUCUGAUCUUGUCAGAUCUCAGACGCUAAGCAGGGCUGGGCCUGGUUAGUACCAGGAGACUGCUGGGAAUACCAGGUGCCACAGUGA
rnacentral:rRNA from 1 species